AGCUCCAAUAGCGUAUAUUAAAGUUGUUGCAGUUAAAAAGCUCGUAGUUGGAUCUCAGGGUGAGCUCAUUUGGUCGGCCUAACUGGUCAGAACUGACUGACUUACCCUUGUUUCUGGAUCCCGGCCGUAGUUGAUUCUGCGGUUGUGGACUCCAUAUCGUUUACCUUGAAAAAAUUAGAGUGUUCAAAGCGGGCGUUUGCUUGAAUACAUUAGCAUGGAAUAAUGGAAUAGGACUCUGGUUCUAUUUUGUUGGUUUUGAGGACUAGAGUAAUGAUUAAUAGGGAUAGUUGGGGGCAUUCAUAUUUAAUUGUCAGAGGUGAAAUUCUUGGAUUUAUGAAAGAUGAACUUCUGCGAAAGCAUUUGCCAAGGAUGUUUUCAUUAAUCAAGAACGAAAGUACGC
rnacentral:rRNA from 1 species